rnacentral:rRNA from 1 species
UUCCGGUUGAUCCCGCCGGACCUGACUGCUAUCGGAUUGGUACUAAGCCAUGCGAGUCGUUGUAGCAAUACAAGGCAGACGGCUCAGUAACACGUAGUCAAUCUACCCUAUAGACGUGGAUAACCUCGGGAAACUGAGAAUAAUAUACGAUAGAUCAUAAUGCCUGGAAUGGUUUAUGAUUGAAAUGAUUUAUCGCUGUAGGAUGGGACUGCGGCCUAUCAGCUUGUUGGUGGGGUAAUGGCCCACCAAGGCUAUAACAGGUACGGGCUCUGAGAGGAGAAGCCCGGAGAUGGGUACUGAGACACGGACCCAGGCCCUAUGGGGCGCAGCAGGCGAGAAACCUUAGCAAUGUGCGAAAGCACGACUAGGUUAAUCCGAGUGAUUUCUGCUGAAGAAAUCUUUUGUCAGUUCUAAAAAUACCGAUGAAUAAGGGGUGGGCAAGUCUGGUGUCAGCCGCCGCGGUAAUACCAGCACCUCGAGUGGUCAGGAUGUUUAUUGGGCCUAAAGCAUCCGUAGCCGGCUUUGCAAGUCUCCGGUUAAAUCCAGCUGCCUAACAGAUGGGCUGCCGGAGAUACUACAAAGCUAGGGAGCGGGAGAGGCAGACGGUAUUCGGUGGGUAGGGGUAAAAUCCUCUGAUCCAUUGAGGACCACCAGUGGCGAAGGCGGUCUGCCAGAACGCGUUCGACGGUGA